CAGCAGGGCGUCUGCUCGGCCAGGUCUCACCACCCUGCGGGGGUGCAACUCGGUGCAGGUGCACCCCGGGAGAAGCGGGUGAGCCUGUGCUCAGUCCAGAAGCAGAGGAGGAUCAGAGUGUUAGGCACCUCCCCUCACGUCCACUGACCCCCGCCAAAGCCCCAGUAAGACUGGGGCUCUGGGCCUCAGCCACCAGGUCCAACCUUCACCCCACAGGGUUGAGUGGCCCCUUCCCUCUUUUGGUUCCAAACAGGAUGCGGAACUGGUCUGUAGACUCCUUACCACCUAGAAAACUCCUAUGUGUACUUCAAGGCCCUGCUCACAUGCCCCUCUCAAAGUGGAGAGGGAUUGGCACCCUCUGGCUUUGCUGUGCUCCCACCAAGCACCUGCCGCCUGCCACAAGCUGUCUGCCCAGUCGGACGCGGCCCUGUAUGACUGGGAUCAGAGCCUUUUCUCAGAAGAAUGGAGGAGGAGAUUAUGCACUCAGAGCUGGUGAUCUUCGCAGGGACGACCUUGGGGCUGUUGUACAUAGGCUUUAUUCCUCCUCCCCGUGCGCAGUGUGGCGGGGAAGGGUGCUUUCUGGUGGGCGUGGGGGUGAGCGCAGACAGUGCUCCCCAGGGUGCGCUGCAUCGCUUCCCAGGUGCUCUUGGUCUGGGGGCUCUGGCCUCGUCGCCUGCCAGGCUGCUAGCUGGAAUGUGGGUUGGUGCAGCGAGGGCCAGGGCGUGUCCUGCGUGGCGAAGUGCUGAGGAGCUGUGGCCAUGGGUGGCCGUGGAGGGUGAGGCUGAGGCUUGGUGUGGCUGUCUGCAUCUUAG
rnacentral:lncRNA from 1 species